UUUUUUUAAUGUAGUCCUGGCCUUCCAUUUCCACAACUCCUUUGGACAAGCCUUCUCUUCAGCAUCAGCUCACAGCCUCAUCAACAAUCUCACUUCUGGCCCCUUCAGUCCUAAGUUCCCCAUCGUUGCUAGGCUCUUAGUGUCUCACAGACCCUUGCUUUGUCUCCUUGAUCAAACCUUCACUAACAUCUCCUCAUUACGACCAUCUGUUGUGUGUGUGUGUGUGUGUGUGUAUGUGCAUGUGUGAGCAAACUUAAUUUCAUGGACAUAUCAAUAUACACAGCACUGCAUCCAAUAAUUGCAGAAUACAUAUUCUUUUGAGGACCAAGUAGUUUUUACCAAACUUGAACAUAUAAUGAGCUAUAAAGCAAUCCUUGACAAAGUUCAAACGAUUGAAAUAACAGUAUGUGUUUUUGUGACCACAAAGCAGUUAUGCCAGAAAUCAAUAACGAAAAGAUAACUAGGAAAAAAAUCCCCUUUUUUAUGUAUAUCACAUUGCAUCUUUCGUUAUGUUAUCCUGGAAACAAACAACCUCACACUCUCCUUGACUUAUGACACAUUUAUUUCUUAAUUUUUUAAAGAUUUUUAUUUUUUCCAUUAUAGUUGAUAUACAGUGUUCUAUCAAUUUCCACUGUACAGAAAAAAAUUGACAGAACACUCUAAACCAACUAAAAUGGAAAAAAAUAAAAAUCAUUAAAAUUUUUUUUUAUUUUUUUAAAAAGUAAAUUAUACAACUGAGAAUGUGACAUGUAGGCGUACACAGAUGAUGGGAGUAGCUAACACUUCCUGGAAGACAUGAAGGGAGAUUUCAGGGAGAGUGACACUGGAGUUGGGUUUAAAGAAUGAAUAGGUUGGUGGGAAUGUAAGUUAGUGCAGCCACUAUGGAAAACGGUAUAGAGGUUCCUCACAAAACUAAAAACAUAAUUACUAUAUUAUUCAGCAGUCCCACUCUUGGGCAUAUAUCCAGAGAAAACUGGUAUUAGAAAAGAUACAUACACCUUUAUGUCCAUUGCAGCACUAUUUACAAUAACUAAGACAUAGAAAUAAGCUAUUGUUCUAUCCACAGAUGAAUGGAUUUAAAAAAUGUGGUACAUAUAUACAAUGGACUAUUACUCAGCCAUAAAAGAGCAUGAAAUAACGCCCUUUGCAGCAAUGUGGAUAGACCUAGAGAUUAUCAUACUAAGUGAAAUAAGUCAGACAGACAAAGACAGAUAUCGCAUGAUACUGUUUUUUUGUUGUUUUUUCUUUGUUUUUGUUUUUGUCUUUUUGCCAUUUCUUGGGCUGUUCCCUCAGCAUAUGGAGGUUCCCAGGCUAGGGGUCCAAUGGGAGCUAUAGCUGCCAGCCUACACCAGAGCCACAGCAAUGCGGGAUCCAAGCCACAUCUGCAACCUACACCACAGUUCACGGCAACGCCAGAUCCUUAACCCACUGAGCGAGGCCAGGGAUCGAACCCCACAACCUCAUGGUUCCUAGUCGGAUUCGUUAACCACUGCGCCACGACAGGAACUCCACGCAUAAUAUUGUUUAUAAGUGGAAUCUAAAAAAAUGAUACAAAUCAACUUAUCUACAAAACAGAAAUCGUCUCACAGACAUAGCAAAAAAUCUUAUGGUUACCAAAGGGGAAGAGAUUGGGAAGAAGUAAAUUAGGAGUCUGCAAUUAACAUAUACACGCCACUAUAUAUAAACUAAAUAACCAACAAGGACCUACUAUAUAGCACAGGGAACUACACUGAAUAUUUUGUAAUAGCCUAUAAGGGAAAAUAAUUUUAAAAAGAAUAUGUGUGUGUGUGAGAGAGAGAGAGAAAGACUGAAUCACUGUACUGUACA
rnacentral:lncRNA from 1 species